rnacentral:rRNA from 1 species
AUUGAACGCUGGCGGAAUGCUUUACACAUGCAAGUCGAACGAUGAAGCCUAGCUUGCUAGGUCGAUUAGUGGCGAACGGGUGAGUAAUAUAUCGGAACGUAUCCAAUAAUGGGGGAUAACUAGUCGAAAGAUUGGCUAAUACCGCAUACGUCCUACGAGAGAAAGCUGGGGAUCGUAAGACCUGGCGUCAAUGGAGCGGCCGAUAUCUGAUUAGCUAGUUGGUGAGGUAAAGGCUCACCAAGGCGACGAUCAGUAGCUGGUCUGAGAGGACGACCAGCCACACUGGAACUGAGACACGGUCCAGACUCCUACGGGAGGCAGCAGUGGGGAAUUUUGGACAAUGGGCGAAAGCCUGAUCCAGCCAUUCCGCGUGGGUGAAGAAGGCCUUCGGGUUGUAAAGCUCUUUCGCAAGGGAAGAACACUUACUUAAUAACACUAAGUGAGGUUGACGGUACCUUGAUAAGAAGCACCGGCUAACUACGUGCCAGCCGCCGCCGUAAAAC